UGACAUCCUGGAGAUCUCCUUGUUCCCCCGCGCCUUGCCCGAGAGUCCCGGCGGGUGUCCUUUGGGCCCCGGGUCCAGCAGGUGCACCCGCAGACGUUGGGUCCACGGAACCGCGGAGCGCCCUGCGUGCGCUCUCGGGUGCCUACCCAGAGGACGGGAACUGGGUCACGCGGGCCCCGAGGCCGAGGAGCAGGGCUGCGCUGGGCUUUGCUGGGCUACCGUUGAUACCCAGUGGGGAAAGGUGGGCCUCGAUGGGGUGACUGUGGUGGAUGAGGUCCUUGUGGGCGGAGCGGUCCCGGGCGCACACGCACACCCUCCCCCUCGGUCAGGGUUCCCGAGAUGGGCGCCGUGGGGGCCCGUGCCGGGGACUCUGUUUGGUGACCUGACAGCAAACACCCGGGUUCGGGGGCACGUGGGUGAGCCUCCCUUGGUGCGGCCCCGUCCCCGACGAUCGAUCGGGGCGGCUCGCGUCUCUUGGGACCGGACCCUUCCUUCCCCGUGCGGGUCGUUCCUCCCUCCCUGUCUCUCUCUGCGUGUCUCUGUCUCUUUCGUGGCCUUGCGCGGCUCCUGCUUGCGCUUUGAGGGUCCUCGGGGCCUUUGUGGUCAGAACGAAAUCCCUCGGGAGGGUGGCAGCCGGUGGAGGAUGGAGAUGCUGGGUUUCCAGCCGGACCGGAGGGGCAACUGACUGUCCGGGAGCCUGCUUGGAUGUCCCGGCAGCCCAAAGUGCCCGGAAUGACCCUUUUGGCCUUGAGGCCGGCCAAGGGUUCGUGUGCGGGCGCCAGGAGAGAAUGUGCGGGCACAGGCCGCCUCGGGAGGGGCGGUGGACGUUCGUGUCCUACCCGGACCGCUAGCCUUUGUAGUUGGGGACAGGUAGCUAAGUUGAAAAUUUGGCCAGGUGUUGUCAGUGGGGACGAGGCUGUGCUUGUUGGAGCCUCAGAAAGGGGAGCUGCUCCUGAAUAGUUACUGACCUGUCUGCAUGGCCAUAUUGGAAGUAGGGUUGACAGUGCCUGCCCUUUUUUUGUUUGUUUGUUUGUUUGUUUGUUGGUUUGUUUUUAGCAGUGAGGUAAGUGAGGGGAUCUGGGGAAGGGCUCUUGGACAUAUGUAGUGCAGUACUGCCAUGAACCUGAUCCCGCUGGUGUUUUCAUUAUUCCGUGUUGGCUGUUUCUGCAGGAGUGAUUGGAUUUCAAGUUGCGUUCUCAGAUUGGACAUCAAUUUGGACUUCUUGCCUUCCCUCAUCUGCCUGAAGAGGCUUCAACAUCUGACUGGACCACCAAACCAACAGGAGACCUCAAACUAACCCUUUCUUGGAAAGUGAAGCAGAUGACAUCUUCAGAGACUCCUCUCACAAGACUCGGGAGCAGGCCAGUAUUAUGUUCACAAGAUUCAUCAUACCAAUCCUCAUGAGGCUUCUUUCUCUUCCAUUUCCACUUUUGAUUGGGAAAACAAUGCUAUAAUUCAAGUGUCACAAUCCCUUGUUGCUUCUGGAAACCUUUCUGACUGUUGGAUUUGUCACCACUCUCCUACUAGGUCUUUUAUUGGUAAUAAUACCCCGUAAUGUUAACCUAUAAAUAGUUUAUACCUCCAAAUAUUCCCAUUAGUUACAGCAAAACACAUCCCUCCCAUCACUUUCAACGUAAGGAUGUUCUUGCCUUAAGAAAACCUUCCAUGUUGGGGCGCCUGGGUGGUUCAGUCGGUUAAGCGUCCGACUUCCACUCAGUUUAUGAUCUUGUGGGUCAUGGGUUCAAGCCCUGCAUUGGGCUGUGUGCUGACAGCUCGGAGCCUGCUUCAGAUUCUGUUUCCCUCUCUCUGCCCCUCCCCUGCUCACUCCCUGUCUCUCUCUCUCAAAAAAUAAUAAAAAUAGAAAAAAGAAAACCUUCCAUGUUUUACGCUGACCACCUACCUCCUGGGCCAAUGGGUUAGCAAAAAAUGGAAACCCACCCCUUCCCUUUAUAUGAUUUCCUCUUUACAAAUUGUGUAUCUUCCACCUGUUCUAAUAGAAAUCUUUUCAACUGUCCCAUCUCCAUUAUGCCAAGACUUUUGGAUAUUCCUACUUGAAUGUACCAGCCCAUUCUGCACCAAACCUUCUGAUACAAUCUUUCAACAACUCAGUGGUGCUCUUUUAUGAGAAAUACGUUCAUUUAACCAAACCACUAUCCCUAGCUAGAUGCUAGCCCCCUUCUCCUUUACAAAAAUAAGACCUGUGCAUUCUGUGCACCUCCAGUUGUUUGGACAGCUGGAGAAUUACCGGCCAAGGCUUUUCAGGUCACCUUAUUUCCCCCCCUCACAGUUCUCAGAUCACAACUGAUCUCCUAUCACAAGGGACUUCUCCAUAAUAGAGUAUCUGAUGAAGAUCCUUCUGAUUAUGAAGAUAAUAGCUGUGGACGUACCCAGGAAUGUGAUCCCCUGCAGGCUUUUCUGUCAAUUACCAGUGACCAUCUCCUUUGAGGUUUCUUUUCCUGGCUGGGGGUUGUAACGUCAAACAUGACAUCAUGUUGUAGAACAGGUCUACAAAUUGUAUUAUUGUUUUUCAUUUGUACCCUACUUAUUAUCUUCAAAUUAUGUUAUGCAUUUCCCAUUGCUGUUGUAUUCAAAAUGUCAAAAUAAUGGUUGCUCAAAGACUUGAAAAUA